rnacentral:lncRNA from 1 species
CUUUUAUCCUGAAAUGCGGGCGCGAGUGCGCAUGCCCGGAAGUGCGUUUAGAUUCACUAGAAACUGUUCCUGCUGCAUUUCACCGAAUAAAUGUGUUUAUUUCAUUAGUCGAUCACAUCAACAGGCUCGUUCACUGAUUCCAGGUGUCAGGAUGGUGUGUGAGCUGCUGCUCUCCUCGGUCUGGUUCCUGUUCGUCAUCUUCUGGCUGGAGACCAUCAGUGUUUGGCUCUUCCUGUGUCUGUACUAUCAGGAUCGGGUUUUCUAUCACUGGGGUUCAGGUGAGUCUGCAGAUGAUCCAGAUCAGUUCCUCUACGUGUUGAGCAGGUGAGCUUUAUUUCUGCUUCUGAUACGGAAAGAUAAAGAAAACGGCUGCUGUCUCACCUGAUUCAGUUCUGUCAGUGUGCUCUUGUUACACAAACAAAUACUACAAAAUCAAGCUCAUCUUCUCCCACAGAAUUGACCUUUCUGCGCACAUGCAGACGUGAGGAAGUGAUGUCAUUGCUCGAGUGUGAGGUCACAUGAAGGGACGCGGGAGGGUCAGAGGUCAGCGGAUGCUCGUGACGUCAGAGAGCCUGUGAUGGGAGGUUUCUACAGAUGGAUAGAGUCGAGAGAUUCAGCAGAAACACAUUAAACAUGAGCAGUGUUUGCAGGAACAUGAAAUGUUGUAGUCUUGAGGUUUUAGGUUUCUUCACAUGAUCAGUGACAAACCGUAAUGUCUUUAAAACUGUUACCUGUGUGAACAUGACUGACUGAGUUUAACCAGUUCAUCUCUUUAACUAGUUGGAAUUUCAUUUUAUAAAACUUUAGCAUCUCCGGAUUAACUUUUAUCUAAUUAUUGUUCUUUCUAUUUUUGUACCAGUUUGUCUUUUUUACCUAAUAAUAAAAAUGAAGCAGUUUUAAUA